GUCCCUGCUGACCUCACCGGCUUUGCACUGCUUUUCUGUAAUUGAUUGAUACGAGAGUGAACCAAAUACUUUCUGUGAAGGUCUUCCAAGGGAGAAGAACCCAACUGAAGAAGAGAAAAAGACCCCGGAGCCACCUGAAGUCCUCAUGGACAUUCUCAAGAAGAUGCAUGCACUACACGUGAUGGCCCAAGAGGCUGUGCAGGAGGUGGCGUUUCCAGAAGAACACAGCAACUCCCUGCCAGUCCCGGGUGGAGCGACAGAGGCCAUGCCAGGUAACUGCUGUCCCGUGGCCAGCCCGUGUCACCCCUUGGGCUGACUGUGUGUCUGCAGGCUCUUCUCCUGGGCCCGCUCCUGCACCUCCCGUCAGCAGCCAAAGCUGAAAGGGUUCUGGGUUCCAGACAUCGUUGCCACCUUCUGCAGGUGGUGGGGAAGGGGACACCUGCAGGAACGCAGCUCCCGCUGUGGCUGCGACCCAGAGCUGGCCGCGAGUCCCCUGAGGCCCAAGGCAGAGGAGCAGCACACAGCGGGGUCCCCCCCGUCAGCUGAGGGCCCGAGCCCUUCCCUGAGUGCCCCUGGGCAGGGGCUUGGAGGGAACAGCCCCGUCCUCCUGCAUCCUCUGGGCCUGAGCCCUGCUGAGGCUUGACCUGUCCUCUCUCCUUUUUGGCAGUGCUGUCAGAGCCCAGAAAAGCCAAAGUAUACGACUUUUCUCGGUCAAACUCAGGUACUGAGCAGAGCUGCUGGGGUCCCUAAGUGGGAGACACGUCCC
rnacentral:lncRNA from 1 species